rnacentral:rRNA from 1 species
AAACAUAAGAGUUUGAUCCUGGCUCAGGACGAACGCUGGCGGCGUGCCUAACACAUGCAAGUCGAGCGGAGAUGCCAAGGAGCAAUCCAAGGUGUCUUAGCGGCGGACGGGUGAGUAACACGUGGGUAACCUACCCC